CCAGAGAGGGGACGGCCCCGCAAGCGCCCAGGGCAGCGAACGCUUUACGGACAAAUAACUGACACACAUCACUGUGUGAACCUGAGCAGACCGCGUUUUUCCGGUACAAAGCGUUGUCCGAGAGGCUCGGCGCGGUCGAGUUGUUAAGCUGUGCCUGGAAGCUGAGAUGUCGUCGCCUGCGAGCUCGGCCGCAGACCAGUUUGUACUCAGCACUUCUCCCGGGGCGUGCGGGGAGCUGGUGGAAGUAAGCAGCUCCGAGUCCCAUGCACGGUGAGGCGUUUCAGCGGCCGAGCGCUGGAGCUGCGGGUCCGGAGAGGACUGGGCUGGCCCCACCUCUCAGGG